UGUCCAAACAAACAUCAGUUGUCA
rnacentral:siRNA from 1 species